rnacentral:rRNA from 1 species
UACGUAGGGUGCGAGCGUUAAUCGGAAUGACUGGGCGUAAAGGGUGCGCAGGCGGUUGGUCAAGACGGAUGUGAAAGCCCCGGGCUUAACCUGGGAGUGUCAUUCGUGACUGACGAACUAGAAUAUGGCAGAGGGAGGCGGAAUUCCACAUGUAGCAGUGAAAUGCGUAGAGAUGUGGAGGAACACCGAUGGCGAAGGCAAUCCCCUGGGCCUGUACUGACGCUCAUGCACGAAAGCGUGGGGAGCAAACAGG